rnacentral:rRNA from 1 species
CGUCAAGUCAUCAUGGCCCUUACGGCCUGGGCUACACACGUGCUACAAUGGUGCGUACAGAGGGCUGCAAACCCGCGAGGGGGAGCUAAUCUCACAAAACGCAUCGUAGUCCGGAUCGGAGUCUGCAACUCGACUCCGUGAAGUCGGAAUCGCUAGUAAUCGCAGAUCAGAAUGCUGCGGUGAAUACGUUCCCGGGCCUUGUACACACCGCCCGUCA